UUUACGAUACAUUCCUCAUCCUAUAAAGAAUACU
rnacentral:sRNA from 1 species